rnacentral:lncRNA from 1 species
UAACUGACCCGCACAUCAUGUUGACAUGUUGUUGUGUUUUGACUGCUGUCGCAGCCUGCCGGGCGACAAUGGUUUCGACCCGCUGGGCCUGGCGGAGGACCCGGAGAACCUGCGGUGGUUCGUGCAGGCGGAGCUGGUGAACGGGCGGUGGGCGAUGCUGGGGGUGGCCGGGAUGCUGAUCCCGGAGGUGCUGACCAAGGCCGGGCUCAUCAACGCGCCGCAGUGGUACGACGCCGGCAAGUCGGAGUACUUCGCGUCGUCGUCCACGCUGUUCGUCAUCGAGUUCAUCCUCUUCCACUACGUCGAGAUCCGGCGGUGGCAGGACAUCAAGAACCCCGGCAGCGUCAACCAGGACCCCAUCUUCAAGAGCUACAGCCUGCCGCCCCACGAGUGCGGAUACCCCGGCAGCGUCUUCAACCCGCUCAACUUCGCGCCCACGCUCGAGGCCAAGGAGAAGGAGCUCGCCAACGGUGAGUAGCGUCUGAUCCCGUGACUACACGGUCGCCGUCCGCCGGCAACUUUAAAUGUUUACUAACCAUAUCCGGAUGUGAUGUGCCUGUUCAUGCAGGGAGGCUGGCCAUGCUGGCGUUCCUGGGGUUCCUGAUCCAGCACAACGUCACCGGCAAGGGGCCCUUCGACAACCUGCUGCAGCACCUGUCCGACCCAUGGCACAACACCAUCAUCCAGACUUUCUCCGGUUGAGUCGACGGGGAGUGAUCACCAAUUUGGUGGGCUGAUGGGGACAGGAGGACAUACAUUGAUACGCGAUCGAUGUGAAUUCCUUUCUGUGUGGAUCAUCAGUUUGUGAUGUGUGUUUAAUCCGGAGAGGAGAUUAAGGACUGUGUUGUAAUAAUGCUGUAUGCAUGGUGAGGAGAGUGAGUACUGAGGGG